rnacentral:lncRNA from 1 species
ACAUUUCAAUACCUUUGCAAAUGCGAUAGGGAAACCGGCAGCAAAAGGAAUAUACGAAUGCCAGGUAUUAUUUUCAUCACAUCAGGUCAGAUACCAAAAUAUUUUUUGUUUUGUAAAAUAAUGCUUUAAUUCUACGUACUGUUUUCACAUGUUACAUUGUCUAAUUCAAUAUGUUUAGUGUAGGCGUUGGUGUUCCAUUCAACAUUGCAGAAGUUCUCAAUAUAGCAUAUCCAUAUACUCUCUGUAAGAUUUAAUAAUACAUUUAUAUUUGUAUAAUCUUAUAGUUGUAGUCGUCAUAGUAACAUUGUUCAAAACGUCAUGUUGUUCAAAACGUCAUGUUUGAAGUUUACUUUUAAUGUUUUUAUUUUGGAUUGUUAUCUUGGCAGGAAUCAAAUUAUGACAUAAACUUAUUGAGACAAGGUGUGCACAAAACCAGAAUAAUGCAACAGGUUGAUUUUAACAAAACCAGAUUCUUAACUACUAUCUACCAUAUCAUUAUCUCUACUCUUACAUUUUUUCUGUACACGGUUAAAUAAUUAGGUGUGUAUAAUAGUCGUCACUUCAUUACAUCUACGAUCAUCACUGAUGUAUCUCAUUAAGCACCAGAAAAAGGUUAUCUAUCUUUUAAAUUUCAACUUUGUUUUGCUGAAUAAACUCUUCAUGUUCUGGCUCUAUCAUAUUCUUACUAUUGACUAUCUCUAUGAUUUGGCAGAGGUCUAGGCAAAAUGGCUUUGCAAGCAAUGGUUGGACUUCUUAAAACGAUAUCUUUUGAAGGUACUACUUGUUUGUUAGAUUGAAAUCAGAUUUAAAUAUGCAUAAUAUUGAACCAAUUAUGUUAUUGGGAAGAUUGGUUUUUGUAUCUGGAAAAAGCAUUUGAUUCAAAUUUAACUGCAAUGAGUUUUUGAGAAAGUGGCCAAUACUCCACUCGGACUAGAAGAUAUAAGAUUUGAAUAAUUUUAAUUCUCUGCAUAGUUUGUGGUUUUGUAGUUCUUAACUAAGUUCAUUCUCCGCAGCAUUCUUGCUAAUUGAAAUCAAGAGAUUAAACGAAGAUGGGCUUCAAAUGGGGAAGUGACAUAACUCUCUCUCUCUCUCUAAUCAGCAAGCUCAGCAAAAAGAGGCAGAGUAAGAUUUUCUAGAAUCUAUUACUCAUACUCAGGCUUACUUCACUUGCUUAAUUCAUUUCAUUAUAAGUGAUUUGUCAAGUGAUAUCUUGUGUGCAGCGAUAUUGAUUCUCUGCAGAUAAUUGAACUUAAUUUGCUUAGAUGAUACAGGGUAUUUUGCAGCUGCGGCCAAAGCUUCUCUCAGAUUAGUACUCUCCCGUAAGAUUUUCAAUGAGUUAUUUUUCUGAUUAGUUUGAGGUUUUGUAUGUUCUUAAUCGAGUCUCAUCUUCUCUUCUCAGAACUAUUGCUAGGUGAAAUCAAGAGGAGGGCUCAAGUGAAGUAGUUUCUCUCAUCUCUCAAAUCUCUAACUUCAUACAUAAUUAGUCCCACGGAAAAUACAAAGUACACUAUAACACCACGAAAAUACAAUACAGACCUCAAACACAAAAACCUCACGUCCAGAGAACAUAACUCAAAUAUGCAAAACAAAAACACGCAAACAUAACACUCAAAAAAAAACAAAACCUUCACGAUCAAAAACAAAAAUUCGUAGAACUGUGGUGUCAAGGUUCAUAUUUCCUCCUUCUAAAGCAAGCAUUAGCGCAAAACAAGCCUACAUCGAAAGGAAUAUACGAGUGUCAG